rnacentral:rRNA from 1 species
GAUGAACGCUAGCGGGAGGCCUAACACAUGCAAGCCGAGCGGUAGAGUUUCUUCGGAAACUUGAGAGCGGCGCACGGGUGCGUAACACGUGUGCAACCUACCUUUAUCUGGGGGAUAGCCUUUCGAAAGGAAGAUUAAUACCCCAUAAUAUAAUGCUUGGCAUCCAUUAUUAUUGAUAACUCCGGUGGAUAGAGAUGGGCAGGCGCAAGAUUGGAUAGUUGGUGAGGUAACGGCUCACCAAGUCAAUGAUCUUUAGGGGUCCUGAGAGGGAGAUCCCCCAGACGGGGACUGAGACACGGACCAGACUCCUACGGGAGGCAGCAGUGAGGGAUAUAGGACAAGGGAUGAGAGCCUGAUCCAGCCAUCCCGCGUGAAGGAAGGCGGUGCUAUGGAUGGUAGACUUCUUUUGGACAGGGAUAAACCUACCCGCGUGAGGGUAGCUGAAGGUACUGGACGAAUAAGCACCGGCUAACUCCGUG